CGCUGUCGGCACUUGAUCUCAGAGUGCUGGCUAUCAUGGGCCUACUGGCUGUCCAAGGCCAAGAGGCUGUCCAAGAGCUGGGUUUUACCAACAUUAAUCUCAUUGAAAGACCUGUAGACAUCCAGGCAGAGCCAGCCAACAUAGAGCAAAUUUUUGUAAAUGAAUACUCCCACCACCAUCACCACAAUCACCACAGAUGAUGUCGACGGAAGACAUACAAUAUAAUAUAAUAGAGCCA